GACGAACCGUGCAAACGUUAUUCGGAAUCACUGGGCAUAAAGGGCGCGUAGGCGGCUUUCUAAGUCAGGGGUGAAAUCCGGCAGCUCAACUGUCGCAGUGCCUUUGAUACUGGAGAGCUCGAGAGAGGUAGGGGUCUGUGGAACUUCCGGUGGAGCGGUGAAAUGCGUUGAUAUCGGAAGGAACGCCGGUGGCGAAAGCGACGGACUGGAUCUCUUCUGACGCUGAGGCGCGAAAGCCAGGGGAGCAA
rnacentral:rRNA from 1 species